rnacentral:lncRNA from 1 species
CUGGCACUCAAAAGGGGCUCUGCUGUCCUGCCGGACCCUGGCACCUGCUGCAUGUUCUGUCCUUGGGAGCCCUUUGUAACUGGGACCUGUUUUUGCUUCAGACAGAGUGACUUCUGCUGUCCUGUUGUGUGAGUGUUACGGCAGCUCCCUGCUGAAUGUUGGACUCUGAUGGGAGCCUUAAGAUGUACCACAAGUGAAGCAGAUACUGUUAAAGGAAGUUUUGGGGGGAUCUUUCACAUGAUGAGGUAUGACAAAUGCAGAGAUUCCCAAGAGAGGCACUGUCCAUCCUGAAUAUCUUCUAAAAUAUGGGAGUCUGACCCUUCAGAGAUAAUAUGGCAACACACUGGUGAUUAUGCUCUGCGAAUGGAGCUGGAUUAGUGAAGAAUCUCUACAUGGCAAUCAACUCUGGAGAACUUUUCCUCGUGCAGUCAGG